UACAGAGGGUGCAAGCGUUGUUCGGAUUUACUGGGCUUAAAGGGUGCGUAGGUGGGUAGGUAAGUCAGCGGUGAAAUCUCCGAGCUUAACUCGGAAACUGCCAUUGAUACUAUCUAUCUUGAAUGUCCUGGAGGUGAGCGGAAUAUGUCAUGUAGCGGUGAAAUGCUUAGAUAUGACAUAGAACACCAAUUGCGAAGGCAGCUCACUACGGGAUUAUUGACACUGAGGCACGAAAGCGUGGGGAUCAAACAGG
rnacentral:rRNA from 1 species